UUUCAACAUGUAUCUUAUGUACCGUAUAAUUAACUAAUAUUCGGUAGUUAAGUUUCUACCUUAGUUCCGAUAAACUAAGACUACGUACAUACUCCUUCUUAAA
rnacentral:ncRNA from 2 species